GAUGAACGCUGGCGGCGUGCCUAAUACAUGCAAGUCGAGCGAACAGACGAGGAGCUUGCUCCUCUGACGUUAGCGGCGGACGGGUGAGUAACACGUGGAUAACCUACCUAUAAGACUGGGAUAACUUCGGGAAACCGGAGCUAAUACCGGAUAAUAUAUUGAACCGCAUGGUUCAAUAGUGAAAGACGGUUUUGCUGUCACUUAUAGAUGGAUCCGCGCCGCAUUAGCUAGUUGGUAAGGUAACGGCUUACCAAGGCAACGAUGCGUAGCCGACCUGGGAGGGUGAUCGGCCACACUGGAACUGAGACACGGUCCAGACUCCUACGGGAGGCAGCAGUAGGGAAUCUUCCGCAAUGGGCGAAAGCCUGACGGAGCAACGCCGCGUGAGUGAUGAAGGCCUUCGGAUCGUAAAACUCUGUUAUUAGGGAAGAACAAAUGUGUAAGUAACUAUGCACGUCUUGACGGUACCUAAUCAGAAAGCCACGGCUAACUACGUG
rnacentral:rRNA from 1 species